AGAGCUGUCGCCUUCCUCCCAGAGGCAGAAGCCAGCGAGAGCCCUCGGGAUGCUGCUGCUCCCGCUCCUGGCCCUGGCUGCAGCCUGGUCCUAUGGACAAGCACAAGUGCUUCUGAAGCAGAGUGUAUCCAUUACCAGAGGCCAAGGUAAAACUGCAUGGAUCGAGUGUAUAGCUGAGGGCAUAUCCAACUUCCAGUCUGCAAUUAUACAUUGGUACCGACAUAUCCCCUCCAAAGCUCCCGAACGGAUUCUGUAUAUCGGAUCAGGUCAAGCUUCGUAUGACGACAAUGCCUAUAGGAGCAAGUAUUCUUCUUCAAAGAGAGGUACAAAUGUCUGCACUUUCUUAAUCAAGGGCAUUAACUCCAACGAUGAAGGUACCUACUACUGUGCCUACUGGAAGUCCCACAGAACUAGCAGACCACAGGCAGCCUCUACAGAAAGCUGCCCAUCCCCUGCGCAGCAGGCUUCCUGUCAAAUGCAGAGAACCACGGUUGUACCUUCCUGCCACUAA